rnacentral:rRNA from 1 species
GACGAACGCUGGCGGCGUGCUUAACACAUGCAAGUCGAACGGAAAGGCCCUGCUUUUGUGGGGUGCUCGAGUGGCGAACGGGUGAGUAACACGUGAGUAACCUGCCCUUGACUUUGGGAUAACUUCAGGAAACUGGGGCUAAUACCGGAUAGGAGCUCCUGCUGCAUGGUGGGGGUUGGAAAGUGUCGGGGGUUGGGGAUGGACUCGCGGCUUAUCAGCUUGUUGGUGGGGUAGUGGCUUACCAAGGCGUUGACGGGUAGCCGGCCUGAGAGGGUGACCGGCCACAUUGGGACUGAGAUACGGCCCAGACUCCGACGGGAGGCAGCCGUGGGGAAUAUUGCACAAUGGGCGGAAGCCUGAUGCAGCAACGCCGCGUGCGGGAUGACGGCCUUCGGGUUGUAAGCCGCUUUCGCCUGUGACGAAGCGUGAGUGACGGUAAUGGGUAAAGAAGCACCGGCUAACUACGUG